UACGAAGGGGGCUAGCGUUGCUCGGAAUGACUGGGCGUAAAGGGUGCGUAGGCGGAUGGUACAGUCAGAUGUGAAAUCCCUGGGCUCAACCUGGGGGCUGCAUUUGAUACGUGCUGUCUUGAGUUCGGAAGAGGGUCGUGGAAUUCCCAGUGUAGAGGUGAAAUUCGUAGAUAUUGGGAAGAACACCGGUGGCGAAGGCGGCGACCUGGUCCGAUACUGACGCUGAGGCGCGAAAGCGUGGGGAGCAAACAGG
rnacentral:rRNA from 1 species